rnacentral:rRNA from 1 species
CCCUUAGAUGUUCUGGGCAGCACGCGCGCUACAAUGGUCUUCGCAAACGGAUGCAUUCUCGAAGGAGAAUGCCAAUCUUGGAAUCUAUGCCUUGGUCGGGACAGUUGCUUGCAAUUUUUCGACUCGAACCAGGAAUUCCUUGUAAUCGUGAUUCAUCACAUCACGAUGAAUACGUCCCUGCCCUUUGUACACACCGCCCGUCGCUCCUACCGAUCGAAGAGUUAGGUGAAUUGUUUUGAUCGAUAAGAUUUGACUUUGGUCAACUCUCGUUGUGAAAUUCUGUGAAUCUGACUGUUUAGAGGAAGGAAAAGUCGUAACA